rnacentral:misc_RNA from 1 species
GAUGAAGAACGCAGCGAAAUGCGAUAAGUAAUGCGAAUUGCAGAAUUUCCGUGAGUCAUCGAAUCUUUGAACGCACAUUGCGCCCGCCAGCAUUCUGGCGGGCAUGCCUGUUCGAGCGUCAUUUCAACCCUCGACCUCCCUUUGGGGAAGUCGGCGUUGGGGACCGGCAGCACACCGCCGGCCCUGAAAUGGAGUGGCGGCCCGUCCGCGGCGACCUCUGCGUAGUAAACCAACUCGCACCGGAACCCCGACGUGGCCACGCCGUAAAACACCCAACUUCUGAACGUUGACCUCGAAUCAGGUAGGACUACCCGCUGAACUUAAGCAUAUCAAUAAGCGGAGGA